UUUUCAUUUGAUCCUACCCACGGGGUGGAAUGACUAAUCCAAGACCGCACAGACAGAGAAAAUGGCACAGUGGAGCCGGAUUCCGACCCCAGUGAGGCCUUGGUCUGUGUUCCGUUUGAAAUGGAGAAAUCUAGGAAGCACUUCUUGGGAGGAGACGCCUGCAAGUGUUCUUACUUCUAUCGGGUUCCAUCAGUUAUUGAACGUCCACAGUGUGCGUUGCCAGGGAGAAGAGGAAGGACGACAGACACAUCGCCUGCUGCUGGGAAUCAAUGCGGGACUGGUUGACAGCUCAGGACCCAAUCAGAGUCACUUCUGUGGCUCACCCCAGGCUUGAUGGAGGCUGGCUAAUUACAGGGGACUCUGGUAAAUGAGUUGGUGGCCCUCUGGCCAGACCCCUCACCCUAUGGCGUGGUGACCACUACCAGUGGUGGCCCUUCUCUGACUUUGUGUUUCACAGAGAUUCGUCGCCUCCAAGGACAGGUGGAGACAUGGGGUGAGCAGGUCUGAGAAUUCUGAAUUCUGCCUCCCGGUUCAGUCAAGGAGUUAGACACAUUCCCAACGUACCGUACAGAUCCUGGUGCAGAAAGCUAUUUUUCAGUUUCGCCGGAACCAAUUCGAAAACUCACACCAGAAGGAAACCUGUGUAAAAACCAAUCUCAGAUGUGGAGCAAAUGCUGGUGAGGGUGUCAACUGGUAGAAUCACCCUGGAAAACUAGUGGGUUUCCAUAACCAAAGCUGUACUUGGGAGCAGAUAGCUCCAUUCCCAGUUACGAUUGCAACAGUGUUGGUGGUAGGCAGACACUAAGAUGUGACCUUCUAACCAUCAAAAUACAACAAUUAUGAUGGGAUAUGACUUCUCUGAUUACAUUUCCUAAAACUGUAACUUCUAUCUUGCUAGCAUGUUCUCUCUAUUGCCUUCUUGGCUUCCACGCUUUGAUGUUGGAGAGAGCCUUAUAUGACACGGAACUAAAUGUGACCUUUGGCCAAUAGCCAGCUAGGCACUGAGGCCUUCAGUCCAAUAGUCUUCCAGAAAUUGAGUUAUGCCAACCGCAGUGGGAGCUUGGAAGUAAAUCCUUCCCCAGUUUGGACUUCAGAUGAGAUCCCAGCCCUUGCUGACACCUUGAUUCUGCUUUGUGAGGGACUCUGAAGCAGACGGUCUAGCUAAGCUGUGUUCAGACUCUUGAUUCACAGAAACGGAGAUAAUGUGUGUGGUUUGAAUUGUGUGGUAAUUGGUUCCACAGCAAGAGGUAACAAGUUCAGAGAUGCUUACAAAUGUGCACCCAGGGACACGUAUAAGAAUUUUCAUAGCAGCAUUCUUCGUGAUACCCAAAUCAGAAAGAACUCAAAAGUUCAUGGAUGAUAAAGUGGAUAAAUACAUUGCAGUAUAUUCAUAGAGUGGACCACUGUAAGUGCUGUGAGAGUAACUAACCCUAGAUACCUGCAACGAUAUGGGUGAGUCUCACAAGUAAUUAGGUGGGAAAAACCAGACAUAAAAGAGUACACACUGUAUGGUCCAACUUACAUAAAGUUCUACAAUAGGCAAAACUAAUCUGUCAUCCUGUUUGAAACUUAGGAUGGCGACUCCUUUGGGGGUUAGGUAGCUACAGGGAAGGUACAUAGGGAAGUUUUUAAGAUGCUGAUAAAUGUCCUGUUUCUUCAGUCUGGGGGCUGGUUACAGGACUGGUUUACACACGUUUAUGUACGUAUUUGGUUAUAAAUUAAAAAGUUUUUACAACACCGCCUUUUUUUUUCUAGCAGGUGAUCUUUUCAGCACGGGAUAUUCAUAGAUGUGUGCUCAGAGGGGUGCAUUAUCUUUGCAGGCACAGUGUCAGUCAUACACCAGGAAAGGAGAGCAUUGAUUUCAAAUGCCUCAUUUAACAGAAGAGGUAAAGUGAGUUGCAGAAGUCAAGCUUCCAAUCAUUUGUCAGAGCUGCAAGUGCAAAGCAGGUCUCUUGUAUAUUCUGGUUCGAUGUGAGUGCAGUCUGGCUGUGGACCAUCUUUUAUGGUUCUCCAUGCUUGAGUCCCUUUCUUCACCACCCUGUGAGAUUGCCUGUUGAUGUUGCAAACUGAGUUAAAGAUUGCUUUCCCAGACUGACCGGUGUCUGGCUUGGGCUUGGGCUUUAAACUGACCAGUAUCCAAGAAGGAGCUUCUUGGUAUCCUGUUUUCAUGCUUCUACCUUGUUCUGUUGCACUGGAACCCUCCUUGCCAUUUGUUUCCAGGCCUGUUUCUUGUACCAUGGCUAGUGAUCUUUACCUGACCCUCUAUCCACAGUCUGGUUCUCACCCAGCACAACUGAAACUCAAUACCUUUCCUGGUGCUGAACUUGGCGAACUUUCUUGGCUUUGAUUAGGACUCAUCUUUCAGUGUGUAUUUGCUGCUAGCAGCUCUGGGUUAUGACCUUGACUGGGAAGCCUGCAAUCAUCUUACUGAGUCUGCCUCAGUCUCUGCAAAAGAGUAGAGAAGUAUUUUUUUUUUCGAUCAAAGAUCUACAAAUAUCCAAUAUCUCCAUGUUCCAAAUAAGUUCUUACAUUCCAUUUUAGGAAAAUAUCUGCUGGUGUAGGCAGAGAGGAGCAUGAACUACCUGCCUUUUCCCCCUUUUCUCUUUUCUGAGAUCUGAGACCUACGUUAUAAAAGCAACACAAUGAAUGAGAUCAGACAUAUACAAAUACACCUUAGAGACAAAGAGUCAGCCAUGUCAUAAGAAGGCAAAGGAUGGAUGUGACAAUAACCCCAUUGAUGGUAUGGAUGUGUCUAAAGAAAGAAUAUGUCAGUCAGAAAGAAUAUGUCAAUCAGAAAGCUGGCGGGCACAGAACUUGGAGGACAAGCCAGAGGGAACUCUGAAAACCUGGUAUGAAUGUUCCAGGGGUAAUGGCUUCAUCAAGUCCCAGCCAUGUGAUGCCGUUAAGCUUUCAGGUCAUCUAACUAAACUGUCCUUGCUCUGAUUCCAGACUCACUAAGGAGAUUUCCAAUUAUAAUCAACUUCCUGUGUAGAUUUUCUGUAGGGAAAAAAGGUGCUGGGGAGAAGAGUGUAUUUGAUCUUUCUGACAACUGCACAUCCCCUUGUUGAUAGAGGUAUCGACAUUUUGGUGAGAAGUUUUGGUGUUUUCUGAAUUUAGUUCACAGAAGUCAGCUCUCCCAAGGUAGGCAGAUCCUGGAACACUAACAAGAUUGAAGUUUUGGACUUGCACAUCUUCUGGCCAGACCUCGGACUGUGAAAAAUUCAUUAAGGUAAUGCCACUUUGGAAGGCCUCUUGGUAGACAGCCAGCCAGCCAUUUCCUGGUAAUAUUCAACAUGGCUUUGGGCCCAUUUUCAAAAUCAUGAUGGUACCUAACUGGAUUGAGAGGAUGAGAAAGGGAACAGAGAGAAGAGGAGAUAAAUUGGGUAGUCCAUUCAAAUUGGUUUCCAUCGAGGCUACAGAUGGAAAUGGAAUCUUAUUGAAAAUGGACUACGUAUGUGUUUCUUAAAUGGGGAUAGAUACCCUUCUGGGAAUAUGUGGUAAUUUUCUUGGGAUGAGUAAAGAUAGGGGAUAAAACUCAGCACAACUUUCUGGAAGAUUAACUUUUCUCCCUGGUUUGGGGAGAUGGAGAAGUUAAGACAUUAACUAAAGAGGUAAAAUUACCCAGAGUUUGUUGCUGGGUAAUCAGGGAUUAUAUUUACCAGCUUCUCUUGCAUUUAAUUGGGGCCAUGUGAUGACAUUUUGCUCAAGGGAUGUGGGGAGGAUGGCUGUUAAUUUUGGGCUGAAGCAAUUAAGAAGCACUUCUCUCCCCAUCUCACAGUUGAAUGGAGAGGUUGCAGAGGCUCUGAAGGAGGGUAGAGUCACAAGGCCACAGGGCAGGUUGUCCACCCACCAGCCACACCCACACAGACUUUAGACCUCGAUCAUCUUGAAAUUCAUUCAGAUAACAUGGCCUGCCCAAGUGGAGAUAUUUGCCUUUGCAAUUAGAUGUGCCCAGGGAACUAUGUCUAAAUCAACAGGAGACCAAGAGUUGGAGAAGCUGAAGGAAAAGACCUAGCAGGGGCUGAGGAGGUAUGGCUUCAACUGAUGCCCCAGGAGCUGUACUCGCUGGGCCAGGAUUCACAGAAGGUCGAGGAGAAAAUGGAGUUGCUGUGGACUCACCUGCUGCCCCAUGUCAACAUGAUGAGCCAGCAGCAUGUGAAUGACAGUUCAAGUCAUGCACGGUCUCCAUCACUUUACUGGCCAUCAGCCCUUUCUCAGGAAGCUUCUGGAGGAUAUGCUCCACCAAACUGAGGUUGUAAACCAAGAAAGAGGAAGACAUGGGAGACAGGAAACAGAAGACUCAACAAAGGAGAGAGGAGGAGCCCUGUGACAACCAUGUACCCAGAACUGAGGUGCUGAGGGCAAUCUGGAACAGGUCAGAUGGACCCAGUAGGGAUUUAUUCAGCAAGAUGACAUUGAGAGUCUCUCUGUGCAUUCAUAAACAUGGAAAAGAGGAGAGUGUUGAGUUGAUUAGUGGUAACAAUGUUAAUCACAAGAAAGCAAAAUGUUAAUGUCAGACAAAAC